rnacentral:rRNA from 1 species
ACCUGCCCAAUGGUUUUAAAUUAAAAGCAAAUAAAAUUUAUUUAAUAGAACUUAAAGGACGCAGUAACCUUGACUGUGAUAAUGUAGCAUAAUCACUCGCCAUUUAAUUGAUGGAUAGUAUGAAUGGUUGAACGAAUAUUCCACUGUCUUAAAAAGAAAGACUAAAAAAUUGAAAUAGUAGUUAAGAUGCUACUUAAAAUUGUAAGACGAAAAGACCCUAUAGAGCUUAACUAUAAUCUUUCUAACAUUCCAGAAGAGAAGUUCAAAGUUUUGAAAGAUUGGUAGUUUAGUUGGGGCGACUGUCUUCUAUAGAAAACGAAGACAAACAAAGUUAAUAAAAAACUUAUUGUAUAAUAUAUAAAUUUAACAAUUACAAAAGUAGGUUAUAAUGACCCGUUGUAUAUUUAUAAAAGUUGCAACGAUCAAUAAAUAAAAGCUACCUUAGGGAUAACAGGAUAAUUUUAUUUUAGAGAUCCUAUCGAAGAUAAAGUUUGUCACCUCGAUGUGGAAAUUAU